AGUGAACGCUGGCGGUAGGCCUUACACAUGCAAGUCGAACGGCAGCACAGUAAUAGCUUUCUCUUACGGGUGGCGAGUGGCGGACGGGUGAGGAAUACAUCGGAAUCUACUUUUUCGUGGGGGAUAACGUAGGGAAACUUACGCUAAUAUCGCAUACGACCUACGGGUGAAAGCAGGGGAUCUUCGGACCUUUCGCGAUUGUAUGAGUCGAUGUCGGAUUAGCUAGUUGGCGGGGUAAAGGCCCACCAAGUCGACGUUCCUUUGUUGGUCUAAUAGGAACAGCAGCCCCACAGGAUCUGAGACACGGUCCAGACUCCCACGGGAGGCAGCAGUGGGGAAUCUUGGACACUGGGCGCCAGACUGAUCCAGCCAUACCGCGUGGGUACAAAAGGCCUUCAGGUUGUAAAGCCCUUAUGUUGGGAAAGAAAAGCCGCAGGUACAUACCACGCUGUUAUAACCGUACCCAAAGAAUAAGCACCGGCUAACUCCGUG
rnacentral:rRNA from 1 species